GAAGAAAGCCAAGUUGCCCUUAUUUAGAAGUUAGGAGCAGCUGUCACAAAACAGUUUCAUGCACACGGCAGGAGAAGAAAUAGGGUUUACAAGAAUCGUCCACUGACCACAGAUGACAUCGUGUUCAGGCAGUGGUGGCAGUUCCUCAAGGACCAAACGUCCCAGCCAGAUUGGUUGGCCUUGUUCCUGAUGAUCAAGACAGGGUCUUGCUGUCACCCAGGCUGGAGUGCAAUGGAGCAAUCUCAUCUCACUGCAGACUCAACCUCCCAGGAUCAAGCCAUCCUGCCACUUCCGUCUCCCAAGUAGCUGGGACUACAAGCAGACACCCCCAUGUCUGGCUGUUUUGUUUUGUUUUUUAGUAGAGAUGAAUUCUCACUAUGUUGCUCAUGCUGGUCCUGGGCUUCAACGAUCCUCCCACCUCAGCCUCCCAAAGUGCUGAGACUGCGGGUAGGAGCCACGGUGUCCAGCUCCAUUUUUCACUUUUAAGUCUUUUUUCCCUGGGGUAUGUCUCUACCUGCAUCAGCGAUAUUCAGACCAACGCGGACUCUGACUUGCUUUCCUUGCUGCCCUCUCGUUAACUGCACUUUGGGAAACAGGCAAAGGACUCUGUUGGGUGGGAGUCACCUCAGAGCAUCACCGAGGCUCCCCAGCUCCGAGCUCUCUCCCCUCCCUACAUCCUGGUAGCCUUGGGAUAGUUACCAACUGCUUACAGAUGAUCGGAGUGAAAAAUCCACAGUGUAAGACAGACAUAAAGCAUUUCGUAUAUAUGAUGAGCCUCUUAUAAUACGUAGGGGGUUGAAGGGGCUUAAGUGUCCUCCAUAGUCCCUCAAUAUAGGGAGGUGGGACAUCUCACAGGUAAGUGAUUUGCUCACGGUCUUGCCCACAAGUUAGCAGCAAAUCUGGGGCUGGGAUUCACGUUCCUAAGUCCUCACCCAUCACACCACGAGGGUGACAGACUUCCCUAUUCAGAGUCCACAACUGAGAAAGGGACUUUCCUUUACUCUGUCCAAAUAGGGAGCCCCGGGGAGUCCAGAGGAUGGGGCUCCUGCGUGGCCCAUUAUUUUAUUUUAUUUUAUUUUAUUUUUGUACUUUAAGUUCUGGGAUACAUGUGCAGAACAUGCAGGUUUGUUACAUAGUUAUACACGUGCCAUGGUGGUUUGCUGCCCCCAUCAACCGGCCGUCAACAUUAGGUGUUUCUCCUAAUGCUAUCCCUCCCCUAACCCCCCAACCCCUGGCCCAUUCUUAUUAGUUAUGUAGGCAGUUGUCUAAAAUGUGUGUGUCUUAGUUCAUCCCUGCUGCUGUAACAAAAAUAUCUGACACCGGGUCAUUUAAACAGAAAUGGAUUUCUCACCGUUCUGGAGUCUGGGAAGUCCAAGAUCCAGGCGCCAGCAGGUUGAGUGUCUGGUGAGGACCUGGCCUCUGCUUCCAAGGUAGCACGAUGUUGCUCAGGUGGCAGAAGGGACAAACGGCUCCCUGGCACCUCUUUUACAAGGGUUCUCAUCCCGCUCAUUAGCACUCAGCUCCAUGACCUCAUCGCUGGAAAAAGGCCCCUCUUGUUAAUACCAUUGCCUUGGGGAGUCUGUUCCAGCCUGGGACUUUGUGGGGACAUCAACAUUUAGACCACAGCCACAUGGAAAAUGGCUUCAGACAAACACCAUGUAACUGGAUUCGAUAACUGUCUGUUGCACACCUACUCUUUGUAGGAAGGCCUGAUGAAGGGUUCAGAGCUAGCAAGACAGAACUCUACACGAGAGAGCAACUAAUUCAGAGAAAGGGCCGGACUGUCCUUCCCGGACAACCCUGGAAAGGCUUCUCGGGGGGGCACCAUCAGGGUGUUGGAACACCAAGGUAGGGGGCCAGAUCUGGCGGCCGUGGACCGGGAAAGCUUCGCAACUGGUUCUCAUUCUACGUAAGUCUUGGGAGAUGGGGUAAAAUUUCAAUUUGAGGAGUUCAGGGAGAGUGUGAAGUGGCUUUUAAGAUGAAUCUUGGCGGAGAGGAGGGAUUGUCUUUGAAAGGGGCAACAUGUCCCAGUAGAGGAAAUUUAAAAAUCGGUUUUAUGGAAAAAAGAAAAAGAUAGUUUUCUUUCCCUAUUUAUUUAUUUAUUUUUUUGGUGGGGGGAUGGAGCCUCUGUCACCAAGCUGGAGUGCAAUGGCAUGAUCUUGGAUCACUGCAGUCUCUGCCUCCUGGGUUCAAGCAAUUCUUCUGCCUCAGCUUCCUGAGGAGCUGGGACUACAGGUGCGCGCCACCAUGCCAGCUAAUUUUUGUAUCUUUAGUAGAGGUGGGGUUUCACCAUAUUGGCCAGGCUGGUCUUGAACUCCUGACCUCGUGAUCCACCCACCUCGACCUCCCAAAGUGCUGGGAUUACAGGCAUGAGCCACCGUGCCCGGCCCCCUGAUUAUUUUUACGGAGGCCCUGCUUGAUAUUUGGUUUUCUGUGCUUUUUUUGCAAUGAGGGUUGACAGCUUGGCUCCUGGCUGCCGUGGAUGAUCGAGUCAUUACCUUAUCUCCAAAACCAAGUUAUUGGUUAAACUACAUCAAGAUGAGAGCUAGAGUUCCUAGAUUGUUCCUAGAUUAUCAUCCCAAAGCACUGUUUAGUAUAUUUCUUCACUUUGGUAUAUUUCCUCCCCUCUCAUCUUCACUUGCAUUUCUUCACCCUGUGCCUACUCACCUGUUUAGCUUUUUCACCAAACAGGAAAUUUAUUAGGGCAAAUCUCGAACCUCAAGGCGUCCUUGGGAAGUGUGGCCCGCCAUUGUCUCCCGGGCCAGUAAUUCAAUCCAGUGAUUUCACUUAUUUUAUGUAAUUUAUUCUGAAAACUUAGUCAAAAAAAUAAAUAUGCCACUUUUUAAUAUAAA